rnacentral:rRNA from 1 species
GACGUAGGAUGCGAGCGUUGUCCGGAAUUAUUGGGCGUAAAGCGAACGUAGGCGGUUCCUUAAGUUUGGGGUUAAAGACCGAGGCUCAACCUCGGGAGUGCCCUGAAUACUGGGGGACUGGAGGACGGCAGAGGAAAGUGGAAUUCCCAGUGUAGCGGUGAAAUGCGUAGAUAUUGGGAGGAACACCAGUGGCGAAAGCGACUUUCUGGGCCGUUCCUGACGCUGAGGUUCGAAAGCGUGGGGAGCGAACAGG